rnacentral:misc_RNA from 1 species
GAACGCACAUUGCACCCGCCAGUAUUCUGGCGGGCAUGCCUGUUCGAGCGUCAUUUCAACCCUCAAGCCCCCGGGCUUGGUGUUGGGGAUCGGCGUGCCCUCGUGGCGCGCCGUCCCCUAAAUCUAGUGGCGGUCUCGCUGUAGCUUCCUCUGCGUAGUAGCAACACUCGCACUGGAUCGCAGCGCGGCCACGCCGUUAAACCCCCCACUUCUGAAAGUUUGACCUCGGAUCAGGUAGGAAUACCCGCUGAACUUAAG